rnacentral:rRNA from 1 species
UACGAAGGGGGCGAGCGUUGUUCGGAUUUACUGGGCGUAAAGAGCUCGUAGGCGGUGUGUCGCGUCGGCCGUGAAAACCUGCAGCUUAACUGUGGGCUUGCGGUCGAUACGGGCAUCACUGGAGUUCGGCAGGAGAGACUGGAAUUCCUGGUGUAGCGGUGAAAUGCGCAGAUAUCAGGAGGAACACCGGUGGCGAAGGCGGGUCUCUGGGCCGAUACUGACGCUGAGGAGCGAAAGCGUGGGGAGCGAACAGG